ACGGGUGAGUAACGCGUAGAUAACCUGCCUCUAAGAUGGGGACAACAACUCGAAAGGGUUGCUAAUACCGAAUGUGAACAGUGCCUCGCAUGGGAUGCUGUUUGAAGGUGGCCUCUGAAUAUGCUACCGCUUAGAGAUGGGUCUGCGUCUGAUUAGCUAGUUGGAGGGGUAAUGGCCCACCAAGGCGACGAUCAGUAGCCGGUCUGAGAGGAUGAACGGCCACACUGGGACUGAGACACGGCCCAGACUCCUACGGGAGGCAGCAGUGGGGAAUCUUCCGCAAUGGACGAAAGUCUGACGGAGCAACGCCGCGUGAGUGAAGAAGGUUUUCGGAUCGUAAAGCUCUGUCUUCAGGGACGAAUGUGCAGAUUGUAAAUAAUGGUUUGCAAUGACGGUACCUGAGGAGGAAGCCACGGCUAACUACGUGCCAGCAGCCGCGGUAAUACGUAGGUGGCAAGCGUUGUCCGGAUUUAUUGGGCGUAAAGCGCGCGCAGGCGGGAUGGUAAGUCUGUCUUAAAAGUUCGGGGCUCAACCCCGUGAUGGGAUGGAAACUAUCAUUCUUGAGUAUCGGAGAGGAAAGUGGAAUUC
rnacentral:rRNA from 1 species